AUCGCCCUUUGAAAUAUAUAUAUAAAGGGUACUGCCUGCCCAGUGACAAAAGUUAAACGGCCGCGGUAUUUUGACCGUGCAAAGGUAGCAUAAUCAUUUGUUCUUUAAUUGAGGACUAGUAUGAAAGGCAAAACGAAAGCUUAACUGUCUCCUUUUUAAAAAAUGAAAUUAAUAUUUUUGUGAAGAAGCAAAAAUAAUAAAGUAAGACGAGAAGACCCUGUCGAGCUUAAGAAAAUUUUUAUAUUACAAUAAAACUACUGAUAAAAUAAAAUAAUAUACUAAAAACCUAAAAUAAAAAUAUCUUUGGUUGGGGCAACCACGAAGAAAAAAAAACCUUCGUUUUUUAAAAAAAAUUUACAAAUUUAAAAAUUAUUAAAAAUUUUUAAGAUCCAGAAAAUUCUGAACAAAGAAAAAAGUUACCGCAGGGAUAACAGCGUUAUUCUCUUUAAGAGCUCUUAUUGACAAGAGAGUUUGCGACCUCGAUGUUGGAUCGGGGCACCCAAGAGGUGCAGAAGCCUCUAAAGGUAGGUCUGUUCGACCUUUAAAGCCCUACGUGAU
rnacentral:rRNA from 1 species